rnacentral:rRNA from 1 species
CCCUUAGAUGUUCUGGGCCGCACGCGCGCUACACUGAUUCAUGCAACAAGUUUUGUCCUUGGCUGAUAGGCCUGGGUAAUCUUUGAACGUGAAUCGUGAUGGGGAUAGAUGAUUGCAAUUAUUCAUCUUCAACGAGGAAUUCCUAGUAAACGCAAGUCAUCAGCUUGCAUUGAUUACGUCCCUGCCCUUUGUACACACCGCCCGUCGCACCUACCGAUUGAAUGGUCCGGUGAAAUCUUCGGAUCUGAGAGAUGUCUGAUUAAUUUCGGACGCCUUUUGGAAAAGUUGCUUAAACCUUACCAUUUAGAGGAAGGUGAAGUCGUAACG